rnacentral:sRNA from 1 species
CAUUCAAGUGUUCAUCAGUCUUCACUAUACUUAAGUCAAAGUAGCUGACAGUGAGUCAGCAUUUUGGAAGGCAGGUAGAGAUGGUGAAGAAAUAAGGAAAUUCUUCUAUGAGUCAUUAUAGAUAUUUAAGCUUGUUAAAAAAUGUUUUUGACUACCUACUCCCUUUGCCUACAGAGUCCAGUUAAGCCGCGAAGACCGCUUCAGCCUUUCUCUCUGCUGCCCCUGCCGCGCGAUGGAGAAGAGCUCGAGCUGCGAGAGUCUUGGCUCCCAGCCGGCGGCGGCUCGGCCGCCCAGCGUGGACUCCUUGUCCAGUUAAUGUGUUAAGAGCCAUUGACAUUUGAAGAUCAUCAGAAGUGAAGAUAAAACAUCUCAAAAAUUAUAAUUGCCUCCACUUCUCAUUCAGAGAAUUCAGUGCAUACAAAAUCAGCCUCUGUUGUAUCAUCAGAUUCCAUUUCAACUUCUGCCGACAACUUUUCUCCUGAUUUGAGGCCCAUGCAGUCCAGUUCGGGAGCUAAGUCACUUAAACACUGUGUGAUAGUUCCUACACAUCUCAUUAUAGUUUGU